AACGUACUCAGGAUAAAGUUUUGGUCAGUGAAGUGGUUGGGCAACUCCCCGCUUAUGCUGCAAUACCCAAAGGUUCAUCAUUUGGCAUUGGCCAAACAAGAUUGCCUUGUAGAUAUGGUUGAAGAGUAGGGCCCUAACUACAACUGGAAAUAGAACUCUGGGUGAGGCAGAUAGAUGCAGCCACUGAACAACAGUUCUUGCUCUUGUUGCUCCAGCUUCACACCUUUUACUAUCCUAGUAGACAUGACUCAUUAAUUUGGGAACUUGCACCCAGCGGCACUUUAUAUGUCAAGUCCCUGUAUCAAGAGGUCAGCAAUGAAAGAGUAUUUGAAUCGAGAGACAACAAUACUAGAGUUUGGGCUAUCAAAUCACCAAGACGAGUUCAUG
rnacentral:lncRNA from 1 species